rnacentral:rRNA from 1 species
ACGAACGCUGGCGGCGUGCUUAACACAUGCAAGUCGAACGGAAAGGCCCUGCUUUUGUGGGGUGCUCGAGUGGCGAACGGGUGAGUAACACGUGAGUAACCUGCCCUUGACUUUGGGAUAACUUCAGGAAACUGGGGCUAAUACCGGAUAGGAGCUCCUGCUGCAUGGUGGGGGUUGGAAAGUUUCGGCGGUUGGGGAUGGACUCGCGGCUUAUCAGCUUGUUGGUGGGGUAGUGGCUUACCAAGGCUUUGACGGGUAGCCGGCCUGAGAGGGUGACCGGCCACAUUGGGACUGAGAUACGGCCCAGACUCCUACGGGAGGCAGCAGUGGGGAAUAUUGCACAAUGGGCGGAAGCCUGAUGCAGCAACGCCGCGUGCGGGAUGACGGCCUUCGGGUUGUAAACCGCUUUCGCCUGUGACGAAGCGUGAGUGACGGUAAUGGUUAAGAAGCACCGGCUAACUACGUG